GCCCGCCUAGCUCAAUCGGAUAGAGCGUCAGACUCUUACUAAGGCGGGAUCUGAAGGCUGCGAGUUCGACCCUCGCGGUGGGCU
rnacentral:tRNA from 1 species